rnacentral:rRNA from 1 species
CCAAUAGCGUAUAUUAAAGUUGUUGCAGUUAAAAAGCUCGUAGUUGAAUUUCGGGAUUGACGUGAUGGUCGUGCCUUACGGGGUAUGAACUGUUGCUGUUGAUUUCUCACCUUCUGGAGAAACUUGAUGUCCUUAAUUGGGUGUCUCGCGGAUCCAGGACCUUUACCUUGAAAAAAUUAGAGUGUUUAAAGCAGGCAUUUUGCUCGAAUACAUUAGCAUGGAAUAAUAGAAUAGGACGGCAUGGUUCUAUUUUGUUGGUUUCUAGGAUCACCGUAAUGAUUAAUAGGGAUAGUUGGGGGCAUUAGUAUUCAAUUGUCAGAGGUGAAAUUCUUGGAUUUAUUGAAGACUAACUACUGCGAAAGCAUUUGCCAAGGAUGUUUUCAUUAAUCAAGAACGAAAGUUAGGGGAUCGAAGACGAUCAGAUACCGUCGUAGUCUUAACCAUAAACUAUGCCGACUAGGAAUCAGACGAUGUUAAUUUUUUAAUGACUCGUUUGGCACCUUACGGGAACCAAAGUGUUUGGGUC